ACCGCUCCCACGUGGCUGCGUUCCGGAAGCUUCCUGGGCAGUCAGCUGCAGGCUCCAUCAGGCUCCCUUUCGUUCCAGCCCCACUGUGAGCCCCUAGGGGACCGGCAGGAGCGAUGAGGUCCCCAGAAUUCAGCACUGUGCCGAGCUGGCCGGGCCACCCCUCUGGUCAAAUGGCUCAGGGCAGCGGGCUCCCUGGGACUGCUCAACAUGGGCGCCCCCGGCUGAUCCAUGGCUCAUGGGCUGCUGGGGAAGACGGGGCCAGAGCUCCUCUGUCUCCCCUGCUUUGAUGCCCCUCCUUGUCCGGGGCCAUCUUGAGGACCUCAGUGAUCCCCCAUAGACCCUGGCCACAGUCACACCUGGCCCCCACCCAGUAGAUCAUCAGCGGUCUGCCGAGU
rnacentral:lncRNA from 1 species